rnacentral:rRNA from 1 species
GAUGAACGCUGGCGGCGUGCUUAACACAUGCAAGUCGAACGGACCGCUUUUCGGAGUGGUUAGUGGCGGACGGGUGCGUAACACGUAGGUGACCUACCCUGGAGUGGGGAAUAACUCCGCUAACGCGGAGCUAAUACCGCAUGAGAUUGAUCGUUCAUUCGGUCAAUGAAAGCCGUAAGGUGCUCCAGGAUGGGCCUGCGGCCGAUUAGCUAGUUGGUGGGGUAAAGGCCUACCAAGGCGAUGAUCGGUAGGGGGCGUGAGAGCGUGGCCCCCCACAUUGGCACUGAGACACGGGCCAAACUCCUACGGGAGGCAGCAGUGAGGAAUAUUGCACAAUGGGCGAAAGCCUGAUGCAGCAACGCCGCGUGAGGGACGAAGGCCUUCGGGUCGUAAACCUCUUUUCUGAGGGACGAGACAAGGACGGUACCUCAGGAAUAAGUCUCGGCUAACUACGUGCCAGCAGCCGCGGUAAAACGUAGGAGGCGAGCGUUAUCCGGAUUUACUGGGCGUAAAGCGCGCGCAGGCGGCUUGGUAAGUUGGAUGUGAAAGCUCCUGGCUUAACUGGGAGAGGUCAUUCAAAACUGCCAGGCUUGAGGUUGGGAGAGGGGUGCGGAAUUCCCGGUGUAGUGGUGGAAUGCGUAGAUAUCGGGAGGAACACCAGUGGCGAAGGCGGCACCCUGGCCCACACCUGACGCUGAGGUGCGAAAGCGUGGGGAGUAAACAGGAUUAGAUACCCUGGUAAUCCACGCCGUAAACGAUGUCAACUAGGUGUCGGUGGUGUUACACUAUCGGUGCCGAAGCAAACGCGUUAAGUUGACCGCCUGGGGACUACGGCCGCAAGGCUA